CCUACGGGAGGCAGCAGUGGGGAAUAUUGCACAAUGGGCGAAACCCUGAUGCAGCAACGCCGCGUGAGUGAAGAAGUCUUUCGGUAUGUAAAGUUCUAUCAGCAGGGAAGAAAAUGACGGUAUCUGAGUAAGAAGCACCGGCUAACUACGUGCCAGCAGCCGCGGUAAUACGUAGGGGGCAAGCGUUAUCCGGAUUUACUGGGUGUAAAGGGAGCGUAGAUGGCGAUGCAAGUCUGAAGUGAAAGCCCGGGGCUCAACCCCGGGACUGCUUUGGAGACUGUAUGGCUGGAGUGCUGGAGAGGCAAGCGGAAUUCCGAGUGUAGCGGUGAAAUGCGUAGAUAUUAGGAAGAACACCAGUGGCGAAGGCGGCUUGCUGGACAGUAACUGACGUUGAGGCUCGAAAGCGUGGGGAGCAAACAGGAUUAGAUACCCCAGUAGUC
rnacentral:rRNA from 1 species